rnacentral:rRNA from 1 species
CAAUAGCGUAUAUUUAAGUUGCUGCAGUUAAAAAGCUCGUAGUUGGAUUUCGGGUGGGAAUGGCCGGUCCGCCGUUUCGGUGUGCACUUGCUACGCCCACCUUGCUGCCGGGGACGUGCUCUUGAGUUCACGCUCGGGACACGGAGUCGGCGAGGUUACUUUGAGUAAAUUAGAGUGUUCAAAGCAGGCCUACGCUCUGAAUACAUUAGCAUGGAAUAACACGAUAGGACUCUGGCCUAUCUUGUUGGUCUGUAGGACCGGAGUAAUGAUUAAGAGGGACAGUCGGGGGCAUUCGUAUUUAAUUGUCAGAGGUGAAAUUCUUGGAUUUAUGAAAGACGAACUAGUGCGAAAGCAUUUGCCAAGGAUGUUUUCAUUAA